rnacentral:rRNA from 1 species
ACUCCUACGGGAGGCAGCAGUGGGGAAUAUUGCACAAUGGGCGCAAGCCUGAUGCAGCCAUGCCGCGUGUAUGAAGAAGGCCUUCGGGUUGUAAAGUACUUUCAGCAGUGAGGAAGGUGGAUAUGUUAAUAGCAUAUUCAUUUGACGUUUAGCUGCAGAAGAAGCACCGGCUAACUCCGUGCCAGCAGCCGCGGUAAUACGGAGGGUGCGAGCGUUAAUCGGAAUUACUGGGCGUAAAGCGCAUGCAGGUGGUUUGUUAAGUCAGAUGUGAAAGCCCGGGGCUCAACCUCGGAAUUGCAUUUGAAACUGGCAAACUAGAGUACUGUAGAGGGGGGUAGAAUUUCAGGUGUAGCGGUGAAAUGCGUAGAGAUCUGAAGGAAUACCGGUGGCGAAGGCGGCCCCCUGGACAGAUACUGACACUCAGAUGCGAAAGCGUGGGGAGCAAACAGGAUUAGAUACCCUGGUAGCGUAG